CACCGGGCUGGUCCCUUAACCCAGGACUCCAGAUCUCUAGGAACUACUCAAAACACCAAUUAUCACAGAACUGAAGCUGCCCAGUAAUCCUCCUUUGUUGCCGAACUUUGAAGCUUGGAAGUAGCAUAAAUGAAGAUUGAUUGCAAGAUUUCGCAGGGACUCACAGGCACCCAGAUUGGGGUGAAACGGAGGCAGCGUCAAUCUGAGGAAUGGAUUUCACAUUUGGUACUAUUCGACUCCAGAUGAAGUAAAAUGUGGCUUUACCUCCAAUGUAAAUAUUGAUCACCAUGAAACCACCGACUCAGUUUGGCAUGCAAAAGUGCCGUGCCAGCACCACCUGAUGGGAAGAAUGUCCAAACUGAGGAAGAAUGUCCUUGUGACUGUUAAUGUGGAUCUAUGACUUUGAAGUGGAGCACCCACUAUCCCAAAGAUAUUUUUCCAACCCCUUGGACAUAGUGUUUCUCUUGUUAUGUGAAAUCACGUGAUUGAUUGUGAAAAAGGAUAUGAAUUUGGAUAUCUUAGUCCAGUCUUGUAGCCUAACAUAAAAACC
rnacentral:lncRNA from 1 species